GAUUGAGGCAUUCCUCGUGCGAUGUUCUGCAGUAGACUCCAAAGCACUGAGGGGUAGUUUUCUCGCCCCUGCUUCAGAUCAGCGGAAGCAAUGAUGUGUCUCUGGCUUGACAUUCAAGUUUGUGAUGAACCCUUCAGCUUUGGCCCUACAGACAGCUGUCAACAGCUACCGCUCUGUAAGGAAAGAUCUCGGCAAAGAGUAACUGCAAAGACUGCAUCUAAAAGGGAUUUCUCCUCAACUCAAGGCUCUGAAGAAAAAGUUCACCAGUUUGUCUUCAUGAAGAAGAGAAUCCAAGAGAAUCAGGUUCCCUGCGUCAAUAUUGGAUCCAUGUGGCCGAAAAUAACGAUAAAUCUGAUGUGUGAGUAUGUAAUAUAUUAGCGUUUGAACCGUUGUAAAAUGGUGGUUAAAUCCCCCAGGGUUUUCAGUUUCAUACACGGCAUCUUGCUCUGUGGGUAUCGGGAGAAGAAAAACGCUGCACUGGAAUAAGGGAUCAAAGCCACAUGGGGCCAAAUCGUUUCUCAAAUUGUGGUUGGAUGAAUAAUGUGGUUUCUACUUGUUUAGUAUUACUGUAUAACUCACCACAUUCUUCUCUCAGAGCUGAACAUAGAAUACAAAGAUGAAUCAACUCCUCCAUUUUUUGGCCAUCUAACAAUUGAGUUUGAGGCCCUUAACGAACUUCACGUGAAGAAACGUAGAGAAAAUGUAUGCCUAUGCAAAAGAAACAAUAAUUACAUAAGAUGUUUGGCUCUGUAGGGAAUUUGCAGUCUUACAAUACAAACUAGUUCCCAAAUAACAUACAUUUAAAUUGUUUGCAUUAUAAUAAUAAGAGAAGGCAUAGGCCUAUAGAGAGUAUGUUUAUUAUCAUUACUGUGAAU